rnacentral:lncRNA from 1 species
CUGACUUUCUCUAACCUUUUCCCCUGUCUGUCCUUCAUUGAUAGGUGAGCAGUCACCACAUUGACCCAAAGCCUCUUGCAUUUGCAUGUGUAGAAAAUCUGCAUCCUUCAGUACUGCUGUAUAUUCUCCUAAGAAUGCAGUGAACAACAAUAGCUUGAAGAAAUACUGCUUUAUAAAGAAUUCAAAAGGCUGUAUCAGGUACCAAAGGUGGUAAAGGAAGAAAUUUCAGAUGACAAUGCAAAACUACCGUGCUUCAAUGGAAGAGUGGUGUCCUGGCAACCCAGUCUGAGCCAAGGCAUAAGGGCAUUAGAUCUCAAGUUGAGAGUCCAGGGACAGCCUCCCAGUGGAAGUUGGGAAUGUGGAAAGAAUUGGCCUGUGGUUGCUCCAGAUCAGAGCCAGCUGAGUGGCCUCUGCCAGCAGUUUGCACUAAGUGGGUUGGCCAUUAUCUGUGUUUUUUAGGAAGGCUUUGCAACAUCUGGGAAUAAUUCCCUGACAGGCUGCUGAGGAUGUGCACUAUUUCCUAUUGGCUGGCAGUGAUGUCAUAGCUGUGUGCGAGUCUCCUUCUCUCUCUGUUUUCUUCUCUAUUAUCUAGGUGCCAGCAGAUAAUACUUGUCUGUGCGUAAGCUUUUUAGACUCUGUGUUUGUAAUUGCCGUUAGCAUUGUCGUGUAGAACUGUUUCGUCUUCUGCCACACAAGAGAACACAGAAGAGUUAGGAUUGUUGAAUAAUCUUCAGCAAAGUGUAUUGUUGCCUUUUGGUGUGUAAUUGAGGCAGUGAAUUAAAAUCCAAAUAAACAGAUUCCUGUUGAUUUCUAGUGUGUAACA